CUAAGACCCUAAUCACAGAGCAGGAACCCAGGCAUAUCUGAAAAGAUUGGCUUGACAUCCCAGUAAACACGCUAUCUCUCUCUCUCUCUGUCUCCACCAUCAAGCCAGGAUGAGGUCGUUGUACAAGAUGCUACUACUUUCGCUUGCCCUUGUAGCGCUGCUAUCCUCAGAUCUGACGAUCCAGGCGACGGCUAAUGGUGGCGGCUCGCUAAUCCCUGAAGACUGCCGGCAGACCCUUGUCAUCCGUGGGCCCUGUAACCCCAAGGCUUGUCAACGCAACUGUCAAACCAACGUCGGCCCCGGUGCCGUUGGCGACUGUGAUGCCGGUGGAUGCCGGUGCACAUACUGUACUCCAUCUCAGUGGAAUUAAGCAGUGAUUGUUGCUUAAUUGCUCCCCGUUCCGAUAAUAUGCAAAAUCUUAGUUUUUUCUUCUGUCUGGCUACCUGUCAAAUACUCCUACUUGGAAACUCAAAUCAGGAAUGUCAGAAAUUUGAUCGAUUCUAGGGGCGGUUGCCUUAUUAGCAUGUUUGCUUGUGAUUACCACAUCUAAAAAUAAAGGUGUGGUCCUCUAGCCUCCCCUCUCCCUUUGCUAGAGGUGUGCUGCACUA